UAUCCAUUAAUUCUGUUAUCCCAAUAGCAUCUCAUGAUCGCUCGAAAUUCCCCUUCAACCAAUUUCACAGCUUCUGAAAUAAGUAACAAUUUUAGGUUUGCCCUAAUAAUUUGAUUUCCGUUCGGAAUGAUUAAUUGGUGAAAUUAAACCAAAAGAAACGCACGCCAUGAAUUUCAUUGCAUGCUGCCUCUAUAAAUUGUCUCAGAAAAUCACAGGAAAUCAUCAGUCUCACCGGUUCAAUAUCUUCACAUACAAAGACAGAAAUGGCGUCACAGGUUAUCUGCAAUAUUCAGAAGGUUGGGCCCUCAGCCACCCAGGGGCCAGGACACACUCAAGAGCUUACGAUCGCUUGACGAAGGAAAAAAAAGCAUCGUUAUCGUCCGUGUUACCCGGAAAUGGGAAGAACUGGACUUCAUGUCGACCAAUGACGUUACCAGCAUUGAUAUGGUUAUUGUUGAUAAGCAGGGGAAGAGUUACAUGCGGUCAUACCCAAAAAUCUUAUUUGGAAGUUUGAUAAGCUGAUUCGGGAGGGAGGUCUGUACUCUAUGCAGAAACUACACUUGACCACUGCUAAACCCAAGUUCCGUCCUGCGCACAAUGAGAAGCUGGCUUUCUUCCGGAGCACCACCUCCGUUUCUGCAUUGGAUGCCUACUCUGUGUCCAUUAUUCCCCAGAAAUUCUGUUUCACUGAGUUUGAGGCCAUAGAAUCGAACCUCCAGAACAUACAUCUUACAGAUGUCGUAGGUUUCUUAAAAACAGUGACCAACAUCCAGGUGCUUCAAAGGUCCGGUGGGCAAUCAAGCCGAAUGCGCGAGAUCACAAUUGAAAAUCUCAGGGGCACAACUAUGAAAAUUGCUCUAUGGGGUUCUGCCGCCAAGUAGGGUAUGACCCAAUUGAUUGCAACUUCGUCCCAUGUGCUGUGUUGGUUGUUGUGUGCUCCACUUUUGUUAAGAACUACCAAGGCCUCUAACGUUCUCAUAUGUAAUGCAACCCGCCACCCAUGUGCUGAUAGAAAAUGGUUGGCACUAUCUUGCCUGCCAUCGGUGUAGCAAGAAGGUUAUGGGUGAUGAUGGAGACCUUUGGUGCACUAAAUGUGAAGCCAAAGUUGAAAUGCCAUUGCAAGGUUCAUGGUCCGCUUUGAGGCGGAGGACCCACUGGCACCACAGUCUUUGUAGCCUAGAUAGUGAAGUCCAUAAAUUGGUCCGUUCUACCGCGGCUGAGCUCAUAGGAGCCUCAGAGGAUAAUGCAAAAUCUGCGGUAAUAUCUGGAUUCUUGCAGAUACUUCAGCAAGCGGUUGAUUUCCAAAUUACUAUCAAUUCCUUCAACAUGAAACAUAAAAUACCGAUCAGCUUUACCGUCACCCGCAUUAACUCCCCUGCUCUUCUAGGCAAAGGUGUUUUUGCGACUGUGAAAGUUGAAGGGGUUACAGACAUUGUUGAUGUAAUGAUGGUUUAUUAGUUAUUACUGCAUCUCUUACACUUUGUAACUCUGUUUUUCCUGGCACAAUUUCCCAUCCAAAAUAUUUUUAGUCUCUUUUGUUA